GAUGAACGCUGGCGGCGUGCCUAAUACAUGCAAGUCGAGCGAACGGACGAGAAGCUUGCUUCUCUGAUGUUAGCGGCGGACGGGUGAGUAACACGUGGAUAACCUACCUAUAAGACUGGGAUAACUUCGGGAAACCGGAGCUAAUACCGGAUGAUAUUUUGAACCGCAUGGUUCAAAAGUGAAAGACGGUCUUGCUGUCACUUAUUGAUGGAUCCGCGCUGCAUUAGCUAGUUGGUAAGGUAACGGCUUACCAAGGCAACGAUGCAUAGCCGACCUGAGGGGGUGAUCGGCCACACUGGAACUGAGACACGGUCCAGACUCCUACGGGAGGCAGCAGUAGGGAAUCUUCCGCAAUGGGCGAAAGCCUGACGGAGCAACGCCGCGUGAGUGAUGAAGGUCUUCGGAUCGUAAAACUCUGUUAUUAGGGAAGAACAUAUGUGUAAGUAACUGUGCACAUCUUGACGGUACCUAAUCAGAAAGCCACGGCUAACUACGUG
rnacentral:rRNA from 1 species